AUGACCGUGACGCUCGAGGAUGUCUCGUUGAUCACCGGUCUUGCUAUCAAAGGGAUGCCUCUCUGUAUGAGCACCGAUUCUGAUGGGUGGCGCGAGCAGAUGAUUGCUCUUAUCGGUAUGGCUCCUACCGAGGCUGAGGCUGAUGUAGAGAAGGGAGAAGAGAAGAAAAAGAAGGAAAGGAAAGCAUCCGGAGCUGCUUUCACGUGGAUUCAAACUCACUUUGCGACGUGCCCUCCGGAUGCCACUGAUGACGUGAUCCAGACACAUGCUCGUGUCUACAUGUGGUAUGUUGUGUCGAGGACUUUGUUUCCUGACUCCACUGGCAAGAACGCUCCAUGGAUGUGGCUGAAGGCGUUGACCGUCUUC
rnacentral:rRNA from 1 species